GAUGAACGCUGGCGGCGUGCCUAAUACAUGCAAGUCGAACGAGGUGCUUGAGUAGCAAUACGAGAGUAUCCUAGUGGCGAACGGGUGAGUAACGCGUUGGUGACCUACCCCAAAGUGUGGGAUAACAGUUCGAAAGGACUGCUAAUACCGCAUGUGGUUAUUGGAUUUAGAAACUGAUAACUAAAGGAGCAAUUCGCUUUGGGAGGGACCUGCGUCCCAUCAGCUAGUUGGUGAGGUAAUGGCUCACCAAGGCUACGACGGGUAGGGGACCUGAGAGGGUGACCCCCCACAAUGGAACUGAAACACGGUCCAUACACCUACGGGUGGCAGCAGUAGGGAAUAUUGCACAAUGGGCGAAAGCCUGAUGCAGCAACGCCGCGUGUGCGAUGAAGGCCUUCGGGUCGUAAAGCACUUUUCUGAGGGAUGAGCAAGGACAGUACCUCAGGAAUAAGUCUCGGCUAACUACGUGCCAGCAGCCGCGGUAAAACGUAGGAGGCAAGCGUUAUCCGGAUUCACUGGGCGUAAAGCGCGUGCAGGCGGUUCGGUAAGUUGGGCGUGAAAUCUCCUGGCUUAACUAGGAGAGGUCGUUNAAUACUACCGGACUUGA
rnacentral:rRNA from 1 species